GGGGGUGAUCGGUUUCGACAUUGGUCGGCAUUUCAGGGGAAGCGGGUCGAGGAUGCCUGGUUAUCUCGUUAACGCUCCCGGCAAACCAAUAGGUGCCAAUUCCAAGCGCACCGACUUCGCCCUCGCCGCCUGAGCGAGCCUCGAAGUCCGUCAGCCUGAGCUAGUUCUCGUCUCAGUGUCUGGCGUCAGCUAGAGAACUUGCUGCGCAGCCAUGUCGGGGGGCUGCGCGGGACUCC
rnacentral:tmRNA from 1 species